rnacentral:rRNA from 1 species
AGCGAACGCUGGCGGCAGGCUUAACACAUGCAAGUCGAGCGGGCGUAGCAAUACGUCAGCGGCAGACGGGUGAGUAACGCGUGGGAACGUACCUUUUGGUUCGGAACAACACAGGGAAACUUGUGCUAAUACCGGAUAAGCCCUUACGGGGAAAGAUUUAUCGCCGAAGGAACGGCCCGCGUCCGAUUAGCUAGUUGGUGAGGUAAUGGCUCACCAAGGCGACGAUCGGUAGCUGGUCUAAGAGGAUGAUCAGCCUCACUGGGACUGAGACACGGCCCAGACUCCUACGGGAGGCAG